CCUAGCCAUACCUGGCCUAUUGCCAAGGUGUCUGGUACCCUCGUGGCUGCCAUGGGGCCAGCCUGAGAGGUAAGAGGAGGCACCUCAGGAUGUGGAACCUAGACCUUGCUAGCAGGGCUGUUGUGAGGAGGGUCUCCACUCCCAUUGGUUUGGUCCACAUAACAGCUGGAAUUAGGUAGGGGCAUCUCAUGGUGCAGGAGAUAUCUGGGAGAGUGGUGCCUCUGUAUCCCAUAAUAAGGCCGUGCCUACUGUGUGCCUACAUCAUCCCAGGCCCCUUACAUGGUGUCAUCUCUGGUGACACAAUCUCAAGGCAUUCUUCACCUUAUAUUCUAUGGAGGUGGGUCCCAAGUAACACCACUCACGUAGACAACAAUGUGAAUGGUGCCCUCUGGAGUUGUGCAAAGCAGUAGACUCACCUGCCAGAAAAGAAUUUCUGUCCCCAUUUAAUGGAUACACAAACUUAUGUUGCCUAAGAGGUUACCUAGCUAGUAAGCAUCAGAGGUCAGAUGAGUCAGCGCAUGAGUCUGAUGUCAGAAGCUGUUUUCUUUUGACUCCAUCCCUCUCUCAGCCCACUCUCCAUGCCAGCCCACCCUGGGAGGAUGGAUGAGGAUGUUAUGUUAAUGGCAUCUGUCAUGUCCCUGACUUAUCAUGAGACAUCCACGAUGAGCCAGAUGCCAGCUGAUGGGCAAACGUGAGUGAUGGAAAACAAGUGUGUGAGUGAUGAAGUUGGCUCUUGCCAGAUGAGGAUGAAAAAUCUCUUGACCAAACCCCAUGUCUGAAGCUGCCAGUUC
rnacentral:lncRNA from 1 species